rnacentral:rRNA from 1 species
ACUCCUACGGGAGGCAGCAGUGGGGAAUAUUGCACAAUGGGGGAAACCCUGAUGCAGCCAUGCCGCGUGUGUGAAGAAGGCCUUCGGGUUGUAAAGCACUUUCAGUAGGGAGGAAGGUAGUGUAGUUAACACCUGCACUAUUUGACGUUACCUACAGAAGAAGCACCGGCUAACUCCGUGCCAGCAGCCGCGGUAAUACGGAGGGUGCGAGCGUUAAUCGGAAUUACUGGGCGUAAAAGCGCAUGCAGGCGGCCUGUUAAGUCAGAUGUGAAAGCCCGGGGCUUAACCUCGGAAUUGCAUUUGAAACUGGCAGGCUAGAGUCUUGUAGAGGGGGGUAGAAUUUCAGGUGUAGCGGUGAAAUGCGUAGAGAUCUGAAGGAAUACCAGUGGCGAAGGCGGCCCCCUGGACAAAGACUGACGCUCAGAUGCGAAAGCGUGGGGAGCAAACAGGAUUAGAUACCCUGGUAGGAUAGCG